rnacentral:rRNA from 1 species
CCUACGGGAGGCAGCAGUGGGGAAUCUUGCGCAAUGGGCGAAAGCCUGACGCAGCAACGCCGCGUGCGGGAUGACGGCCUUCGGGUUGUAAACCGCUUUCAGUGGGGACGAACCAAGACGGUACCCACAGAAGAAGCCCCGGCCAACUACGUGCCAGCAGCCGCGGUAACACGUAGGGGGCGAGCGUUGUCCGGAUUUAUUGGGCGUAAAGAGCUCGUAGGCGGUUCGAUAAGUCGGGUGUGAAACCUCCAGGCUCAACCUGGAGACGCCACCCGAUACUGCCGUGACUAGAGUCCAGUAGGGGAGCGUGGAAUUCCUGGUGUAGCGGUGAAAUGCGCAGAUAUCAGGAGGAACACCAGUGGCGAAGGCGGCGCUCUGGGCUGGAACUGACGCUGAGGAGCGAAAGCGUGGGGAGCGAACAGGAUUAGAUACCCUGGUAGUCCACGCCGUAAACGUUGGGUACUAGGUGUGGGGUCGUUAUCAACGGAUUACCGUGCCGCAGCUAACGACAUUAAGUAACCCCGUACCCUCGGGGGUAGGUACGGGCCCGGCCGAAGGCCGUAAAAACUACCUAAAAGGAAAGUUAGACGGG